AUAGUUUCUCUACACAGUACUAGUUUUCGGCGGAGGUCGGGCGGCUUGGCCAUCGACCCUCUCCCUAUCUACUUUUUACGAUCUGCGUUUCCUUCCUUUCUGUUCUGUUUUGGUUUCCCUGUUUACUUUAGUCUCCUUUUGUGGAGAGUUAGUACCCCUCCAUUGGAUGGGGCUUUUGUUGCAUAGUAAUGGAGGAAGCUCUGCAUGUUGGCUUUUCGACCUUCACAUUUCUGAUCGGAGUCCAUUGACGCAUUUUUCCUCACUUCUUAUUGCUCUGUUUUAGUGAAUGGUUACAGGGGAUCUCCCUGCUUUGGCUGGCAAGUUAAGGAUCGUUCUGGUGUGCUUGAGUUCGGUCAUGAAUCUUCCAAGCCUCUUCUGGCUCGCCGGUGCUCCGUGAUCCAUGUCCAUUUAUGUUGGCUUUGAGUUUGAUUUCCCAGAUUGC
rnacentral:misc_RNA from 1 species